UAAUAGGAAAAUGUAGGAAAAUCAGCCAAAACCCAUGCUUCAAAGAUUCAAAAUAAUAAUGACAAUAAUAAUUUGUAGUAGUAGUAGUAGUAACAUUAUUAUUAUUAUGACUGUUUAUGGUGCAAAAAGCUGUAGUAACAUUAUUCUUUCUUUUCUAGGUUUGGCAAUAUCUUAAUUGGUCGGUGUCCAGGAGACAUAGCUGACCUGGUUGAAACCAUGACAGAUGAUGAGCUCUCAACUGCAAUCACUUAUCAUCUCAAAAUGUUCUUUGCAACAAGUUCAUACAAGGAAGCUACGCUUUCCUCACUGUUGGUGUUGCUGGCCAAGUUAUGGACACAUUGGCCCAACCACUAGUGGGCAGCCAGCAUCCUGAACAAGAUCUUCAGAUCCUGUCUGCAGGUGAGGCAACGAUGAAGACUCUUUAUGGCACAGUGCAAGGAGCUCUAUUCUCGGGACACAGGGAGGGACAGACUGGCAGCACAUUAAAAGAAGACUUCCACUACCUCAUUGGACAAACAAGUUUAAAUCUGUUCAUAAUCUAAAAUUUAUUCUGUAAUCUGUGAUGGUGUCCAAUAAGAGGGAAGUUUUCAACUGAGGAUGUGAUCACAACAAGCCUUCCCCCAUGAGGCUGUUCUAUGAAAAAAAAAAAAUAAUUGUAACUUUUUUUGGGGACAAAACUGUUUUAAUUAAUAAAUAAAG